UGGGGAAUAUUGCACAAUGGGCGAAAGCCUGAUGCAGCAACGCCGCGUGAGUGAUGAAGGCCUUCGGGUUGUAAAGCUCUGUCUUUUGGGACGAUAAUGACGGUACCAAAGGAGGAAGCCACGGCUAACUACGUGCCAGCAGCCGCGGUAAUACGUAGGUGGCAAGCGUUGUCCGGAUUUACUGGGCGUAAAGGAUGCGUAGGCGGAUUUUUAAGUGAGAUGUGAAAACCCUAAGCUUAACUUGGGGACUGCAUUUCAUACUGGAAAUCUAGAGUGCGGGAGAGGAGAAUGGAAUUCCUAGUGUAGCGGUGAAAUGCGUAGAGAUUAGGAAGAACACCAGUGGCGAAGGCGAUUCUCUGGACCGUAACUGACGCUGAGGCAUGAAAGCGUGGGUAGCAAACAGGAUUAGAUACCCUGGUAGUCCACGCCGUAAACGAUGAGUACUAGGUGUAGGAGGUAUCGACCCCUUCUGUGCCGCAGUUAACACAAUAAGUACUCCGCCUGGGAAGUACGAUCGCAAGAUUAAAACUCAAAUGAA
rnacentral:rRNA from 1 species